rnacentral:rRNA from 1 species
CUCAGUGAUCCAAUUGCCUUGACCCCUCAUCAGAUCUCAGAAGCUAAGCAGGGCUGGGCCUGGUUAGUAUUUGGAUGGGAGACCACUGGGAGUACCAAGUACUACAGUGG